rnacentral:tRNA from 1 species
GGUAGUGUAGUUUGGUGGUAGAGCAUUUGUCUAGAACACAAAUGGCUGUGGGUUCAAUACUCAGCACCA